rnacentral:rRNA from 1 species
UACGUAGGGGGCAAGCGUUGUCCGGAAUCAUUGGGCGUAAAGAGCGUGUAGGCGGCCCGGUAAGUCCGCUGUGAAAGUCCAGGGCUCAACCCUGGGAUGCCGGUGGAUACUGUCGGGCUCGAGUCCGGAAGAGGAGUGUGGAAUUCCCGGUGUAGUGGUGGAAUGCGUAGAUAUCGGGAGGAACACCAGUGGCGAAGGCGGCUUCCUGGACCGGUUCUGACACUGAGGAGCGAAAGCGUGGGGAGCGAUCCGG